rnacentral:lncRNA from 1 species
CCUGUCUUCCACGUCGCUCACGCUGGGAGCUGUAGACCGGAGCUGUUCCUAUUCGGCCAUCUUGGCUCCUCCCUUAAAGUCUUAAUUUUAAAGACUUUCUGUCUUCAAAGCAUAGAGGUGAUACCAGGCAAACAGGCAGCCCAAAGCUGGACUCAGAGUACUUAUAUCCAAAAGGAAGAUGCUCACAGUCAUAAAGUGGUCCAUAGCCUCUAACAACACAGUGGUGAGGCAUGCAUUGCUCCCUGGAAAUCAAGUGCACUGCACUAUAUAUUGACUUCCGACAAUGAAAGUAUUUGGAGAAGGGCUCAGACAGUGUCACAAGCCUCAAGCAGUGCAGGCUAGAACUCACAGGCAAAAGAACGGGCAGAAUACAUGGAGACCCCAGCCUGCAGACCCUCGGCAUCACAUAGAGAGGUGUACUUGGGCCAGAUCCUUUACCUGGGCUCCAGACUUCGACUACACAAAGGCAGAGCAGGGAUAUAUGGAGAUUAUAAAUGCUCGCUGCAGGAUGAUACCAGGAGACUGUGAAGUGGUGAGAUGGUGAAGCCACAAGUUUAAAGCAGUGUGAUUCCUCAGUCACCUCUUUGAAGUGAACAACUUAAAUCUCAUCAGACUGGGAUGUGAGCAAGAAUAAGUCUUGAUUCUAUCAAGCCAUUAAGAUCUUGAAGUUGUUUGUUUACUUCUGAAAUAUGUUUAAGGAUUUUAGUUGGCAGUAAAUUUACAUGGAUCAACUAGAAAGAUGCUUUCUAUCCUUGACUUCUCAGCAAUAUUUAACUACAAGCCCCCUUUCCUAAUAGAAACAUUCAAUUCCUUUUGCUUCUGUGGCCCAGCAUCCUCCAGGUUUUCCUCCUGUCCUGCUAGCUGCUCCUUUCUCUGCCUUUCUUUGUGUCCUCUUCCAAAGGACUAUUAAUUGUUGAGUUUCUUUUGGUUCAGUCUUCUGGCCUUUCCUCUUUUCAUUUUUUUUUUCAUGUGAUUUGGAUUACCAUCUAUAUGCGAGAAGACUCGGAAAUUUAUAUCACUACCUUAAAUGUUCUUCUGCACUCCACACACAUAAUCCAACUUCCUAAUUGAUAUUUUCUCAUGGACUUUUCAAUGACUCUUCAUACAAACCUGCACUCAGAAUUUUUCUUUCCAAAUCUGGCCCUCUUCAAUGUUUCCCACCUCAGGGAAUGGCACACCACCUAUCCAGUCACAUGAGACAGAAACCAAAAGUCCAGCAAUCCUUCCUCACCCCUGUCCACUCUUCUCCCACCUUAGCUGAUCCAUUACCAAGUCUUAUCAAUUUCCCUCCUAAAUAUUUAUCAAAUGCAUUCUCUCCCUGCUGGCUCCACCAACGAUCCUGCCAUUAUCUCUUACCCAAGCUCCUGCAAUAGCCUUUUUACUAAUCUGUGUGCAUAUGCUCUGGUGUCUCUUCAAUCCUGAUCCACUCUUCAUAGUAAUAUUUAAAAAUUAAAAACUUGUCUCUUUCCUAUUUAAAGUUCCUCAAUAGUUUUUCCAUUUGUUGUGUUAGGCUAAUGAUAAAACAUGAUUUUGACGAUCCUGCACAUUCUGGCGCCUUCUACCUCUCUGGCUCACCUCACCUCCUGCAGACUCCAUGGUUCUUUGCUCCAUUCAUACUGGACUUCCUUCCAUCCCUCAAACUUUCAUCAGGUUUUCUCCUGUGACUCCCACUGCACAUGUCCUGACACACUUCUUUCUCUUCUUAACCUAUCAAGUCUACCUUUCCUUCAGCUUCUGCUCAAGAAAGAAGCCAUUUUGAUCUCCUGAUUAGUUCAAAUCUUCCUAUAACAGGUUUUCAUAAGACUGUAUACUUUUUAUUAGGACUUGUCAUGGGUGCAAUUUUACAUCUAUUUGUGUGAUUACUUGAUACCUCUCAGUAUCCUCCACUAAACAAUAAGCUCUAAGGAAGUAGGGACAUGUUGUCUUUUGUUCGUUUUUAUCUCCAGCCUCUAAUACAGUGCCGGACAUAGAUGAGGCUCUUUCAGUGAGUAUUUGCCAAAGGAAGAAUGGUAGGAAGAUGGGAAAGAAGGGAGGAAAUAAAAUAGAAGAAGAUGAGUCCAUAUCUUCUCUAUAUUUGCCAAUUUGCACCUGGAGCAUUGGAUUAAGUUCUGGGUGCCAUAUUUUGAGAUAAAAACAAGCUGGAAUAUAUUCAGAAGAAAGGAAUCAGAAAGAUCAGGAGAGGCAAAGUUGGGAUUGAUGCAUCAAAUAGGUAAUUGGAUGCUUUUUUCAAUUUCUUCCAACCAAAAGUUUCUAAUUCAAAGAAACUACUUCAUGUUGUAAAAUAAUUUACAUAAUUCCUCUUUCACAAAUUAAGGCAUUUAAAAGGAAAACACUUUCAUGUUUGUAAAUAAUCUUUAAAAUAGUUUACUGAGAAAAAAUGCAUGAAAAAAUUCUGCAGUGUCUCUGGGCACUUAUUUUGAUUGACUGGUGCAGGCACUUUUAGCCCCCUUUCUCCUGCUUUCUAUUUCUAUUCUAAUACAACGGAAUUAUCUUUUUGCAAUAAAUUUCAUGAGUAGUCUACUGUGAACAUAUAUGUUCUAAUCAAAGAAGAUAUAGCUUAUAAUGAUUGUCAAAAUCAUUCUUUUUUAUUAUGUAGAUUUACUGCCUGAUUACUUCUAAGUGUGAUUUUUUGCCUUUUGAUACUAUUGCUUAUGUACAUGAAAUUUAGAGUUAUGGAUUAAAGAAUAUAUAACCAGAUUAGCUGCAAACUAUGAACAUUAAUAAAAGAGACUAAUAAAAUUAUAAAACUAUCUACUAUGGCUAUUUAUUGAAAAUUACAAAUUUCCUAAAAGUUGCUGAUAUUUGUUAUGUAUCAUAAGCAAUAGUUUUGACUUCCACAAUUUUUUUCAUUUGUGCUUCUCUUUUGUAAAAAUACAAAUUUUGUUUAUUAAUAUCUUUCUUUAGACCAAAACAAAUCAUUCAGUGAAGGAGGAAUUUAUGUCAGUUUCUGGAAAAAGUAUGAAGAUUAAUCCCUUCAUUAGUCAAGGAGGAAUUAUAACUGAUUUCUUCAUUUUCUUCUGCAUUAUUUCAAGCACUUCUCUUUUAUACUUCAGAAAUCCAUGAUGCCAAAUAUAUACUUCUCACAAAUUAUAAACCUUUGAAUUACAUCCCUGAGGAGUUUUCUGUUUGUUUCAACACCAAUAAAAACAGAGAAUUGAAUUACAUAUUUCUGAAUUAGGGAAGGAUAUUAAUAAUUUCAAAAGGAGGCAUUGCAUUCUGCAGCAUUUAGUUAGCCACAGUGGAACAAUAUUAAACUGGAUCUGCCUCAUUCAGUAACCAAGCGUCAGUCAGUGACCACCUUAAGGGAGCCAAGCUCUAGGGUAGAAGCUAUUGGAGUCUUGUGGCCAUGAUGUUGGAAGGAGAGGAAGGCACCCACUCUGUUUGGGAAAGAUGCCUGGGUUGGAGCAACACUCACAGGGACAUAGUCAAGGAACAAUUCUUAGAAAUCACAUAGGAUUGACCCCCAGCUCCAGACCCCAAGUAGGUAAAGGCCAAGGAUAAGACAAAUGGAAGAACUGAACCUUAGUCACUGGUAAAAUCUCAUGGGAUUGUCUUAGAGCAGAAUCCAGAUAAGCUCCACUGCUGAGGCAGACAAAAAGUUAGAUGGAGCUAGCACCACAGAGUGGAGAACAAAAUUGCUUCAAAUGAACCCUAAAUAAAUGGAAGGAACUUACAGAGUCCUCAGGUCACAUUGACAGUAUGGUCAUACGUGUAUUCCAAAAGUUAAUGAUUAAAAAAGACACACACACACACACACUUUGCCUCAGUUACAUUCAUGUAUCUUAUGAAAGCAUUCUGCAAAAUAAUGAUAAUAAAAAUUAUUUGACUAACUACCUCAGACUUUUCCCCAUUUUUGCAUAUCUAGCCAUUGGCAGCAUCUAUGCAGAACAGGGAAUGAAGAUUUCAGAUUGCUAAAAAACAUUUCUAAAAUCUCUUCUGAGAAAUAUUUUUUAAAUGCACUUUGUCAUCUUAUCUGAAUAAAUACAUUUAUAAACAUCGUUACCAGGUAGCAAGAGGUGAUUCUGUCCAAUGUUUGCAGAGAUUUUAUGGUUGGCAAAUAUAGUGUGAAAUUUGCAAAGAUAUUGGGCUAUGAGUGUGUUUACAUUGGAUAAGUAAAAAAGCCCCGCUUACCCGGUGAGCUUUAUUAAUGUAGACAGUCAAUUUGAAUAAUAUGGGCCCCAAAGUUUGCUUUUUCUUAUCAAAACUUUUAGGUCAAAACUAUUGAGAGAAUGUUUCAUCUCACAGCUCUCUUUCAUUUUUAUGGGAAGAGGUUUCAAAUUUAUGAAACACCAAAUAUUUACUACUUGACAAGAUUAAAAGAAAUUGCAUUUGAAAAUAUUUGCUGUCAGCAUACUCUAUGAUUUUUAAAAAAUUUACUAAUGAGGCUUUUAAAAAAUAACCUUGGAUCUCACAGACUUGAAGCAGUUAUAUUCUUUGCAGUAACUCUUGGGAAGCCACACAUGUAAUUAAACCCUGAGUCUAAAUCUCUAAUCACUUGGUUUUGACAACUUCUGUUUAGUGUGUUCUGCCAACAACAUAUUAAUUAGAUGUAACCCAGUGGUUUCAGGUCAUUUCAGGAAAGCAAACAGAGCUCCAGGGAUUACAUGCUAAAACUCAACUAUCUUCUUGGCUAUUUUGUAAAAUAAAGAAAGUGGAGACCUACAGUAAUUCUCAUAAAGACCAGCUAUAUGAGGAAAAAGAAGAGGUUUUGGACACAUGUAUUACCAAGAUUAUAUGUCUCUAUUAAUUGUUUACUUUGCCAGCUUAGACCUAUUCAGAGUAAUCUGCUGAGUUCCAAAGGAAAACAUAAGGGACUAAAUAAACAACUUAAAUCUUAUGAAAUAGUUUAUUUGGAGAGUACACU